GUGCUCACUGUGGAAGCACAUAUACUAAAAUUGGAACAGUACAGAGAAGAUUAGCAUGGCCUCUGCACAAGGAUGACAUGCAAAUUCGUGAAGCAUUCUAUAUUUUU
rnacentral:snRNA from 1 species